ACGCGAGGACGACCUCGCCGCUCCAUCCGAGUGACCAUCCGGGACGGCCCGC
rnacentral:ncRNA from 1 species